rnacentral:rRNA from 1 species
GACGAACGCUGGCGGCGUGCUUAACACAUGCAAGUCGAACGGAAAGGCCCUGCUUUUGUGGGGUGCUCGAGUGGCGAACGGGUGAGUAACACGCGAGUAACCUGCCCUUGACUUUGGGAUAACUUCAGGAAACUGGGGCUAAUAUCGGAUAGGAUCUCCUGCACCGUGGGGGGGGUUGGAAAGUUUCGGCGGUUGUGGAUGGACUCGCGGCUUAUCAGCUUGUUGGUGAGGUAGUGGCUUACCAAGCCUUUGACGGAUAGCCGGCAUGGGAGGGUGACCGGCGACAAUGGGACUGAGGUAGGGAGCAGAAUCGUACGGGAGGCAGAGGUCGGAAGUAUUGCACAAUGGGGGCAAGCCUGAUACGGAAGCGUCGCGUGCGGGAUGCCGGCCUUCGGGUUGUAAACAGCUUUCGACUGAGACGAAGAGUGAGUGACGGUAAUGGGUAAAGAAGCACCGGCUAACUACGUG